CAGCAGCCGCGGUAAAACGGAGGGUGCAAGCGUUAAUCGGAAUUACUGGGCGUAAAGCGCACGCAGGCGGUCUGUCAAGUCGGAUGUGAAAUCCCCGGGCUCAACCUGGGAACUGCAUUCGAAACUGGCAGGCUAGAGUCUUGUAGAGGGGGGUAGAACUCCAGGUGUAGCGGUGAAAUGCGUAGAGAUCUGGAGGAAUACCGGUGGCGAAGGCGGCCCCCUGGACAAAGACUGACGCUCAGGUGCGAAAGCGUGGGGAGCAAACAGGAUUAGAUACCCGCGUAGUCCCUGUCUCUUAUAC
rnacentral:rRNA from 1 species